rnacentral:tRNA from 1 species
GCCACGGUGGUCUAGUGGUUAUGGCGUUCGGCUGCUGACCCGAAGGUCGCGGGAUCAAAUCCCGGCCGCGGCG